rnacentral:rRNA from 1 species
GAUGAACGCUGGCGGCGUGCCUAAUACAUGCAAGUCGAGCGAACAGACGAGGAGCUUGCUCCUUCGACGUUAGCGGCGGACGGGUGAGUAACACGUAGGUAACCUCCCUAUAAGACUGGGAUAACUUCGGGAAACCGGAGCUAAUAGCGGAUAAUAUUUCGAACCGCAUGGUUCGAUAGUGAAAGAUGGCUUUGCUAUCACUUAUAGAUGGACCUGCGCCGUAUUAGCUAGUUGGUAAGGUAACGGCCUAUCAAGGCAACGAUACGUAGCCGACCUGAGAGGCGGAUCGGCCACAUGAGAACUGAGACACGGUCCAGAGUCCUACGGGAGGCAGCAGUAGGGAAUGUGCCGCAGUGGGCGAAAGCCUGACGGAGCAACGCCGCGUGAGUGAUGAAGGUCCUGGGAUCGUAAAACUCUGUUAUUAGGGAAGAACAAAUGUGUAAGUAACUGUGCACGUCGUGACGGUACCUAAUCAGAAAGCCACGGCUAACUACGUG